rnacentral:rRNA from 1 species
ACCAGACUCCUACGGGAGGCAGCAGUGGGGAAUAUUGCACAAUGGGGGAAACCCUGAUGCAGCGACGCCGCGUGAGUGAAGAAGUAUUUCGGUAUGUAAAGCUCUAUCAGCAGGGAAGAUAAUGACGGUACCUGACUAAGAAGCCCCGGCUAACUACGUGCCAGCAGCCGCGGUAAUACGUAGGGGGCAAGCGUUAUCCGGAUUUACUGGGUGUAAAGGGUGCGUAGGUGGCAUGGCAAGUCAGAAGUGAAAGCCCGGGGCUCAACCCCGCGGACUGCUUUUGAAACUGUGAAACUGGAGUGCAGGAGAGGUAAGCGGAAUUCCUGGUGUAGCGGUGAAAUGCGUAGAUAUCAGGAGGAACACCAGUGGCGAAGGCGGCUUACUGGACUGUAACUGACGUUGAGGCUCGAAAGCGUGGGGAGCAAACAGGAUUAGAUACCCCGGUA